rnacentral:rRNA from 1 species
GAGUUUGAUCCUGGCUCAGGAUGAACGCUGGCGGCAUGCGUAACACAUGCAAGUCGGACGGAUGCCUCUGUGCAUUAGUGGCGAACGGGUGCGUAACACAUGGGAAUCUACCCACAGGGAAGGGACAGCCACUGGAAACGGUGGGUAAGCCCUCAUAUGCCGAGAGGUGAACAUCGCCACCUGAGGACGAGCCCAUGCAUGAUUAGCUAGUUGGUGAAGUAAUGGUUCACCAAGGCCACGAUCAAUAGCUGGUUUGAGAGAACGGUCAGCCACAUUGGGACUGAGAUACGGCCCAGACUCCUCCGGGAGGCAGCAGUGAGGAAUUUUUCGCAAUGGGCGCAAGCCUGACGGAGCGAUGCCGCGUGAAGGAAAGAAGGGCGAGAGCUUGUAAACUUUUUUUCACAUUGAAGAUGAUGACGGUAAAUGGGGAAAAAGCAUCGGCUAACUUCGUGCCAGCAGCCGCGGUAAUACGAGGGAUGCAAGCGUUAUCCGGAAUCACUGGGCGUAAAGCGUUCGUAGGUGGCUUACUAAGUCUUCGGUUAAAUACUAGGGCUUAACCCUACGACAUGCUGUGGAAACUGGUAAGCUUGAGUAUUAAUAGAGGUAGAGGGAAUUUCUGGUGGAGUGGUGAAAUGCGUAGAUAUCAGAAGGACCACCGGAGGCGAAGGCGCUCUACUGGCUGAUUACUGACACUCAUGAACGAAAGCUGGGGGAGCGAAAGGGAUUAGAUACCCCUGUAGUCUUAGCUGUAAACGAUGGAUACUAGGUGUUGGAAAGCCGGGCGUCUCUACGUGCGAUGCUUCAGCAUCGAAGCUUACGUGUUAAGUAUCCCGCCUGGGGAGUAUGCCCGCAAGGGUGAAACUCAAAGGGAUUGACGGGAGCCCACACAAGCGGUGGAGCAUGUGGUUUAAUUCGAUGCAACGCGAAGAACCUUACCAGCGACUUGACAUAUUACUGAACCUUUUUGAAAAAAAAGGUGCUUCGUGAGAGUAUUACAGGUGGUGCAUGGCUGUCGUCAGCUCGUGUCGUGAGAUGUUGGGUUAGGUCCCGCAACGAGCGCAACCCUCAUUUCUUAUUGUUAGCCGUAAUUAGAAAGACUGCCAGUAAUAAACUGGAGGAAGGCGAGGAUGACGUCAAGUCAGCAUGCCCCUUAUGUCCUGGGCUACACACGUGCUACAAUGGUAAAGACAACAAGAAGCUAUACAUCCUACACAAUAUCCUUUCCGUAUAUGAGGUAUCCAGGAUGCGCAAAUCUCAUAAACUUUACCUAAGUUCGAAUUGUAGGCUGCAACUCGCCUACAUGAAGGUGGAAUCGCUAGUAAUCGCUGGUCAGCUACACAGCGGUGAAUUCGUUCCUGGGCCUUGUACACACCGCCCGUCACACCCUGGGAGUUACUUAUAUCCGAAUGUACUAGCUUGAGAGCGUACUUAAGGUAUGGGUAGUGACUGAGGUGAAGUCGUAACAAGGUAACC